rnacentral:tRNA from 1 species
AGCAGCGUGGCUCAGUGGAAAGAGCAUGGGCUUGGGAGUGAGGGGUCAUGGGUUCGAAUCCCAACCCUGCCA